UACGAAGGGGGCUAGCGUUGUUCGGAUUUCCUGGGCGUAAAGCGCACGUAGGCGGAUCGUUAAGUCAGGGGUGAAAUCCUGGAGCUCAACUCCAGAACUGCCUUUGAUACUGGCGAUCUUGAGUCCGGAAGAGGUGAGUGGAACUCCUAGUGUAGAGGUGGAAUUCGUAGAUAUUAGGAAGAACACCAGUGGCGAAGGCGGCUCACUGGUCCGGUACUGACGCUGAGGUGCGAAAGCGUGGGGAGCAAACAGG
rnacentral:rRNA from 1 species